GAUGAACGCUGGCGGCGUGCCUAAUACAUGCAAGUAGAACGCUGAAGGAAGGAGCUUGCUCUUUCCGGGUGAGUUGCGCACGGGUGAGUAACGCGUAGGUAACCUGCCUGGUAGCGGGGGAUAACUAUUGGAAACGAUAGCUAAUACCGCAUAACAGUAGAUGUUGCAUGAUAUCUACUUAAAAGGCGCAAUUGCACCACUACCAGAUGGACCUGCGUUGUAUUAGCUAGUUGGUGAGGUAACGGCUCACCAAGGCGACGAUACAUAGCCGACCUGAGAGGGGGAUCGGCCACACUGGGACUGAGACACGGCCCAGACUCCUACGGGAGGCAGCAGUAGGGAAUCUUCGGGAAUGGACGGAAGGCUGACCGAGCAACGCCGCGGGAGUGAAGAAGGGUUUCGGAUCGUAAAGCUCUGUUGUAAGAGAAGAACGAGUGUGAGAGUGGAAAGUUCACACUGUGACGGUAUCUUACCAGAAAGGGACGGCUAACUACGUG
rnacentral:rRNA from 1 species